UACGUAGGGUGCGAGCGUUAAUCGGAAUUACUGGGCGUAAAGGGCGCGUAGGUGGCUCACGAAAGCGUGCGGUGAAAGCCCGGGGCUCAACCCCGGGUCGGCCGUGCGGACUGCGGGGCUCGAGCACUGUAGGGGCAGAUGGAAUUCCGGGUGUAGCGGUGAAAUGCGCAGAUAUCAGGAGGAACACCGGUGGCGAAGGCGGCUUGCUGGGCCAGUUCUGACGCUGAGGAGCGAAAGCGUGGGGAGCGAACAGG
rnacentral:rRNA from 1 species